UGCGGAGGGAUCAUUACCGAGUUUACAACUCCCAAACCCCUGUGAACAUACCACUUGUUGCCUCGGCGGAUCAGCCCGCUCCCGGUAAAACGGGACGGCCCGCCAGAGGACCCCUAAACUCUGUUUCUAUAUGUAACUUCUGAGUAAAACCAUAAAUAAAUCAAAACUUUCAACAACGGAUCUCUUGGUUCUGGCAUCGAUGAAGAACGCAGCAAAAUGCGAUAAGUAAUGUGAAUUGCAGAAUUCAGUGAAUCAUCGAAUCUUUGAACGCACAUUGCGCCCGCCAGUAUUCUGGCGGGCAUGCCUGUUCGAGCGUCAUUUCAACCCUCAAGCACAGCUUGGUGUUGGGACUCGCGUUAAUUCGCGUUCCCCAAAUUGAUUGGCGGUCACGUCGAGCUUCCAUAGCGUAGUAGUAAAACCCUCGUUACUGGUAAUCGUCGCGGCCACGCCGUUAAACCCCAACUUCUGAAUGUUGACCUCGGAUCAGGUAGGAAUACCCGCUGAACUUAAGCAUA
rnacentral:sRNA from 1 species